rnacentral:rRNA from 1 species
UACGUAGGGUGCAAGCGUUAAUCGGAAUUACUGGGCGUAAAGCGUGCGCAGGCGGUUGUGCAAGACAGAUGUGAAAUCCCCGGGCUUAACCUGGGAAUUGCAUUUGUGACUGCACGGCUAGAGUGUGUCAGAGGGGGGUAGAAUUCCACGUGUAGCAGUGAAAUGUGUAGAUAUGUGGAGGAAUACCGAUGGCGAAGGCAGCCCCCUGGGAUAACACUGACGCUCAUGCACGAAAGCGUGGGGAGCAAACAGG